GUCAGAGACUUUGGCGAGAGGAACCGGAGUUGGUGCAGCACCUAGAACACUCGGAAUCUGGCCACGGAAGACUUUGUGAGGUCUUAGUGCCAAUGAAUGAAAAUGUCACAGGACUGUAUUUUAGCAAAUGGAAUGAAACAAGAUAUCUGGGAAGAAGCCAAGCACCUGGCUUUCUAAGAUAGAGAGCUUCAUUUGGGACAGCUACUCCCUUCCUGUGUGGAGUAUGACUUACAUAGGAACCCAUUGCCUAUAAACCUAAAGUCUACCCUAAGCCACCUCUCUUCCUGAAGAUUGAAAAAUCAUAUCGAUGGCUUCAUUUUGGACAGCUACUCCCUUCCUGUGUGGAAUAUGACUUACAUAGGAGCCCAUUGCCUAUAAAACUAAAGUCUACCCUAAGCCUCUUCUCUUUCUGAAGAUUGAAAAAUUGUGUCCGUUCUGAGGAUGUCUGUCUUUUUAAGAUUGGUCCUGCCCUGAAAGGUGAUGUGAAUUCAGUGCCUUAUCCAGCAUGCUGCCAGGGCAGGGGCUGACACCUGGGGAAACCCUGCGUUUCAUAGUUGUUCUUCAGCUGUGGGGGUAUUUAGGAAGGACAGCCCUUCCUGGGCCUUGGCUGUGGACAUUUCUGGUACCUGCGGGAUGAAUUCCUCCCCAUCUCCCAAUGGGCAGCAGGAUGCCUACUCUUGUUUAAUGACAUCUCCACAUCUCCACUGGCUUUUCUCUAAGCACAGGAUUGUCUUGUCCUUCAAGUGGACUUGGCUCAUCUGCUCACCAAGAAGCACCACUGCUCUGGGUCAACUAAUCCCCUCCCACUGCUGGUAUGAGCCUGCCAGAAAGAGAGACAAAACAAAUAAAGCAAAACUUUUUAUCGACAAUUACAAAAAGCCUUGAAAGCACUGCAGAUCUAUGGUAUCUAUUAACUUUGUCUUAGAGUUCAAACUCUGAAAUUAAAACAGUUUAUGUAUUAAAA
rnacentral:lncRNA from 1 species